CUGGACACACUUGUGAGGCAGGGAAGAAAGGUUUGAUGGAAGUCACUCUUGUGUAUAAACAACUGAAACAAUGUAACAAAAUAUGAUGGAGAUGACAGAGAUGAAAGAUAUUGCAAGAGUUACACAAAUGCCUGAAAGCAUAUUAAUCACAAAUUAAUCUGAAAAACAUUAAAACUAAUCUCAACAUCUAAUGAAGCACUCAUGUCUUCAGAAAGUAACACUGUAGUACCACCUGUACCUUCUAAUGGCAUCAGAAGCUGAAAGAAAGAAAGAAAGAAAGAAAGAAAGAAAGA